CCGGGUCCGGCCGUCUGUUCUUCUCCCCUUCUCCCCACCCCUGCACCCCAACUCGUCGUCGUCUUCCCACGCACACCUCCAACCCUAGUGACCCUCCUCCGCAUCCAAAGCGGCGGCUCGACCCGGCGGCCGCUCCGUCUGUGAAGAUGUCGGGGGGCUUCUUCCGGGGGACGUCGGCUGAUCAGGAUACCCGCUUCUCCAACAAGCAUGCCAAGCUUCUCAAGACUCAGAAGUUCGCGUCCGAGCUCGAUCACCAGGUGGACAUGUCAAAGGUGAAGAUGGACGUGAUGAAGCCGUGGAUUGCGACGCGGGUCACCGAGCUUCUUGGGUUCGAGGACGAAGUGCUCAUCAACUUCAUCUACGGCCUCCUUGAUGUGAAGGAGGUGGACGGAAAGCACAUACAGAUCCAGCUGACAGGGUUCAUGGAGAAGAACACAGUGAAGUUCAUGAAGGAGCUGUGGAGUCUGCUCCUUAGUGCACAGCAGAAUGCAAGUGGUGUGCCCCAACAAUUUUUGGAUGCAAAGGAGGCUGAGAUUAAGCAGAGGAAGGCGGAGGAGGAUAGAAUUGCCCAAGAGAUCCAGAAGAAACGAGAGAAAGAUGGAAGGGGCACUGAAGUGGAUAAACGUAAAGUGAUGGACGGGGAUACCAGUAAUCCAAGAUUUUAUGGUGAUUCACUUGGCUCUGCUUUAAAUAAUCCCAUUGUUGAUGCUGAGAAAGAGAAGGAGUUGGACUCGAAAUACAGCUCAAGAACAAAGAGCAGGGAACAUCGCAGACCCAGAAGCACAUCUUUGUCGCCCCGUGGUAGGCAGCGAUCUGUUUCUCCUAGGAGGCGUUCUCCAUCCCCUUCCAGGCAUUCCCUUUCUUUUGAGAGACGGCAAAGAUCAACACGACGUUCAACUUCACCUAGACGUUCUGUUUCCCCCCGAAGGCAUUCUCCAAGACAUGCUCCUUUAGCAUCUAGGCGGAGGUCACCGUAUUCUAGGAGAUCACCUUCAGUACCGAGAUCCCCAUCACCUCGCCGAAGAUUUCAUAGUAGGAGAAUAUCUCCACCUUCUGGGCGACGCGGAUCACUAUCUCCCCAUCGUCAUCGUUCUCCAGCUCGUGCACUUAGGCGAUCACCAUCUCCUGCACGCCGCAGAUCACCCGCUCGACACCGAUUUCCAGCAGACAGACACUGGUCCCCAUCUGCAGGAAGACGCAGACCACGGUCCCCAUCUCCAGUAAGACGCAGGCCAAGGUCCCCAUCUCCAGGAAGACGCAGGCCAAGGUCCCCAUCUCCUGGAAGACGCAGGCUACGGUCUCCAGCAAGACGGCGGUCCCCAUCACCUCCCCGCUCACCGCAGUUGAGGUCACCCAAACGCCAGAGGAAUUCCCCAAUUUCCAUAAAAACUCUUCCUGGAAAUCGCCGAGCCUCUCCACAACGAAGGAGGAGUACUAGUCCAUACAGCAGGAGUCCAAAUCCUCCUCCUAGGAGUUUGAAUAGAGACAACAAGAAGGGAACAAAUGGUGUUCCCUCUAAAGAUGGAGAUAUGCCUCAAAGGAACCAAGAAAGGAGAUCAUAUGCUGAUGAUGGGAAUGACAGAGAAAUGAGCGAUCAUCGUUCUCCAGGCUCUGAACACCAUAGGUCCACAAAAUCCUUGAGGUCUCCUACCAACAAUUCAGAAAGAGUCUCCACAGAUGAUAAUCCUAAGAAAACCAGGAAACAUUUACCCAGUCAGGACAUCACAGAUGCCAGUGGAGACGAGGAAGAAGGCAGUCGCGCAAGAGAGAAUGCACGGAAAGCCAAUUCGUCGCGCAGGAAAUUAAAGGAUUUCUCAGCUGAUCCUGAACUAAACAAAGUCCAUGAUGAUAGCUUAGGCCUGGGAGAAAAAUCACCCUCAAGGUCACAGCAGGAUGGCAAGGACAUCCACAGCAAACAUGACAAUCAACUAUCAGAUUCAUCAGAAGAUGGGCGUGGCAGUGGAAGAAAGAAACGCCAGUUUGAUUCUCCUGAUGAUUCCCUUGUGAAACAGCAGUCCCCUAGUAGAGCUGGAAUGGAUGAGACUAACAACGAGCAUGCCAUAGGUUCUCAUGGCACUGUCGCAGAAAAGAAUUAUUUGGUUAAAGUUGAUGAAGCUUCCCAAUCAGAUGGUGGAAGCCCUCUUCAAAAAGCUAAGAAAAGUAGCAAUCAUAUUGAUUAUCGCAGUUCAGGCUCAGAAGAAUCUGAAAAACACAGAUCCCAGUCUGAGAAGCGAAGGCAUAAGAAGAGUCACAAGCAUAAGAGGCAUCAUGAUGAUAGUUCCGAGUCAGAUUCUGAGUCAGAUGACAAGGAGUCCAAGAGGAGGAGGAGAGAAGAAAAGCGGCUGCGGAAAGAGGAAAGGCGCCUUAGGCGUGAUGAACGCCACCGCAGAAGGGCAGACCGUCAUGCCAGUAAGCAAAAAAUGAAUUAUCUUGGCACUCCGCCUUCAGAUCUUGAGAAGGAUCGUGAACCUGGCUCAGAUGCUGAUGCAAGGAAGAAAGGUUCGUACACCAGCAGAGAAGAAUCUGACCCCAAGAAACUUGAAGUCGAGCUUCGACAGAGGGCCCUUGAAUCUCUCAGUGCAAAAAAAUUGAAGCAUGUUGUUACUCCAUCCCCAGACGAGAAGGAUCGUGAACCAAAUUCAGAUGCAGAUGUUCGGAAAGAAGUUUCAUACACUGGCUGAGAAGAAUCAUCAAAACAAGCUUGAAGUUGAGCUUUGGGAGAAGCCUCUGAAUCUCUUUAGACCAAAGACAGCCGUCAAUCACUAGGCUGAGGAAUUUCUCGCAAUGCAUUUACACAUUUCUAUUUUUUCAAGUGCGUAUCUUAUGUUAUUGAAGUGUGCUUAUAUGGUACCUGUUUAAUGUUCUGUAUGUUUAUUUGACAGUUGAUCUGAGUAAUUGACGAUUCCUGAGCUGUUUCCUUGUUGCAGCUGCUUUCAGGCUUAGCUUCUUUUAUCUGAUUAGCGCCAUGUGAACAAGCUUUUGUAUGUACCCAGAGAUUUAAUCCACACCUCAGCAACAAGCCAACAGCCAAGUUGGUAACUCCUAUGAUACUUGUGAAACUCUUCUAAAUGCUCCUGUUUCGUUUGGUUGCUGCUGCUUAGAAUGAGGUUUGUGCAAUACUUCAUUUAUAAUAUAUGUAGCUAGGUUCUGAUGAAGCAAGUAGACAUUCUUUUCUUUGAAGCUUGCAUGCUGAUUAGGUGCCAUUCUGCUAAAUUCACACGGAAUCCUCACAAGCUUACUUUUACUGUGAAGUUGUCCUUUUCUAAUAUGUGGCUCCAACAUGGAACCUUCGGUUAUGUUCUGAAUUCAAAUAAUAUAUUGGCGUAUCACGCUUGGUGUGAA